rnacentral:rRNA from 1 species
CAGUCGCCACGGUAAUACGUAGGGUGCAAGCGUUAAUCGGAAUUACUGGGCGUAAAGCGUGCGCAGGCGGUUUGUUAAGACAGAUGUGAAAUCCCCGGGCUCAACCUGGGAACUGCAUUUGUGACUGGCAAGCUAGAGUCUGGCAGAGGGGGGUGGAAUUCCGCGUGUAGCAGUGAAAUGCGUAGAUAUGCGGAGGAACACCGAUGGCGAAGGCAGCCCCCUGGGCCAACACUGACGCUCAUGCACGAAAGCGUGGGGAGCAAACAGGAUUAGAUACCCCAGUAGUCCCUGUCUCUUAUAC